UACGAAGGGGGCUAGCGUUGCUCGGAAUCACUGGGCGUAAAGCGCACGUAGGCGGAUUGCUAAGUCAGGGGUGAAAUCCUGGAGCUCAACUCCAGAACUGCCUUUGAUACUGGCGAUCUUGAGUCCGGGAGAGGUGAGUGGAACUGCGAGUGUAGAGGUGAAAUUCGUAGAUAUCGGGAGGAACACCGGUGGCGAAGGCGGCGACCUGGGUCGAUACUGACGCUGAGGUGCGAAAGCGUGGGGAGCAAACAGG
rnacentral:rRNA from 1 species